UCCAGGUCAGGAGGGAGACCUUCUGCUGGUCUUUUGAGUGUCAGUUUGUGGUUACAUUACCAUGGCUCUGUGCAGAAGUUGACACUGGACGUCUUGAGGAGCAGUAGGUUGAAUGCACAGAGCCACAGAGUCAGAAUGAGAUGUCUUUCAGCGUUGGUUUUUUUUUUUGGUGUGAUCAGCUCAGAUGAUUCUUCAGAGAGUGCAAUGGCCAGCCAUUUGGUGUGACCAUUGGACUUUACUUGUCAUGGUUAAGAUUUAUGUAGCUUAAGUUUGAGAAUUUCAGUUCCAAUGAGGAUAAGUCCAAUUUUAAGAUUUGUGAACCGCCUAGAACCAUCUGGGUGAGGCGGUAUAAAAAUCGAACCAACCAACCCACUCUACAUCUCUUUCCAUAUAUCUUCCAAAAGAGUGACUUCCAGCACACAUUGCAGCAGCUGCCAGAAAGCCUACUGGACAAUAAGUGUUUUAUUACCAACAUGCUCCAAAUUUAUAAAAUGAAGAGUGUCAUUAAAAGCCAGAGCUUUCCCUAUAAGAGCUUUAAACAUAUCUGUUUAGUGAACACUAGAAUGGAAAUAAAUUAAAAGCAAAUCUG